AUUGAACGCUGGCGGCAGGCCUAACACAUGCAAGUCGAGCGGAUGAGAAGAGCUUGCUCUUCGAUUCAGCGGCGGACGGGUGAGUAAUGCCUAGGAAUCUGCCUGGUAGUGGGGGACAACGUUUCGAAAGGAACGCUAAUACCGCAUACGUCCUACGGGAGAAAGCAGGGGACCUUCGGGCCUUGCGCUAUCAGAUGAGCCUAGGUCGGAUGAGCUAGUUGGGGAGGUAAUGGCUCACCAAGGCGACGAUCCGUAACUGGUCUGAGAGGAUGAUCAGUCACACUGGAACUGAGACACGGUCCAGACUCCUACGGGAGGCAGCAGUGGGGAAUAUUGGACAAUGGGCGAAAGCCUGAUCCAGCCAUGCCGCGUGUGUGAAGAAGGUCUUCGGAUUGUAAAGCACUUUAAGUUGGGAGGAAGGGCAGUAAGUUAAUACCUUGCUGUUUUGACGUUACCGACAGAAUAAGCACCGGCUAACUCUGUGCCAGCCGCCGCAGUAACAC
rnacentral:rRNA from 1 species